GCCCAGACUCCUACGGGAGGCAGCAGUGGGGGAUAUUGCACAAUGGGGGAAACCCUGAUGCAGCGACGCCGCGUGAGUGAAGAAGUAAUUCGUUACGUAAAGCUCUAUCAGCAGGGAAGAAAAUGACGGUACCUGACUAAGAAGCCCCGGCUAACUACGUGCCAGCAGCCGCGGUAAUACGUAGGGGGCAAGCGUUAUCCGGAAUUACUGGGUGUAAAGGGAGCGUAGACGGUUAAGCAAGUCUGGAGUGAAAGGCGGGGGCCCAACCCCCGGACUGCUCUGGAAACUGUGUAACUAGAGUGCAGGAGAGGUAAGCGGAAUUCCUAGUGUAGCGGUGAAAUGCGUAGAUAUUAGGAGGAACACCAGUGGCGAAGGCGGCUUACUGGACUGUAACUGACGUUGAGGCUCGAAAGCGUGGGGAGCAAACAGGAUUAGAUACCCCCGUAU
rnacentral:rRNA from 1 species